AUGCCAAGUCACAUUGAUUGCUACAUGCUUGACUUGAUUGCCUCACACAUGAUGAACAAUUGCUCUUUCUAUUGUGUUGAGUGUCACAAUAUGUUCACUACACCCUAUGCACACUAUGCCUGGAUUGUCUUGCACUUGACCCAUGUGUUUAGACACUUCAUUUUAUUUGGUGUUGUGAAUACUUCCUAUGCCUACCAUCGACCAUUUGUCGAGCGCUUUAUACAUGAUUGCUAUGAUCUUGAGGUAGAUGCUUAUUCUCUUGUCACACAUAUUUGCAUCACUACCUCACGUUUACAUGUUUGUUUCCAUGAUGACCUUGAUUUUGAUCAAUUCAUAUGCUUACAUGCCAUGUCACAAUCCUUUGUCACACCCUAG
rnacentral:rRNA from 1 species